GGCCCUAUCGUCUAUCGGUUAGGACGUAUCCUUCUCAAGGAUAAAAGCAGAGUUCGAUUCUCUGUAGGGUCA
rnacentral:tRNA from 1 species